CACACACACACACACACACACACACAUGAAAAAUUAAUAAAUCUUAAUGAAAUGAAAAUCUAAAUGAAACUUCCACCACUUCAUUACAAAUCAGUGAUUUUUUUUAAACUUUCACUUUAUUUAUUCUGUAAUUAAAGCUUCACACCCUCCAGUUCCACCAGGUCGGUUUUGACUCCACCCCAUUAAGCGUUACUAUGGAAGCUGAACACAUUUAAAUCACAGACUUAGGUCUGGACACCAUGCCAAAAUUCCGUGCUCUUCAUCCUCCUCCUCCUCCUCCUCUUCUGUUGGCCAACAGAUACGUCAUUCAUAAGAGACUCGGUAGAGGAAGUUUCGGCACUGUUUAUCUCAUUGAAGACACAAAAACGUCCAGAGACAAACUACGUACAGAAGAGAGACAAUUAAAGUGGAGACCUUCUGUUCAUGCACAGCUGUAUUUUUAUCUUGAAGCUUCCUUCAGUGCUCCAGUGGACAGAAGGGACCCGAGGUUAUGUAAAGCAGCUCAUGACAGUGAGGAGAAAGAGGAGAAAAAAGGAGAUUAAUAGGAGGAGACUAACACUGAAGUGUUCAAGGGAUUUUCUGCUUGUUAUCUCAAACCCAGUGUCAGACGUAUCACUGAAAAUUCAACACGUUAUUUCUUCCUCUCUGCAAUGUACACGCUUCAAAAACCUCCUGCAAUUCCCCCCUUGAUGGAGUAUUGAACACCCGUAUCACUUCUGGAACACAUCACUUCUGCUCUGUUAAUAUAUAAAAAGAGGAAAUCUAAAGAGAAAGGAACCUGGACGUAGGAAACAAUGUCCUGUUACAACAUCACUGAGAAAUAACAGAAUCUCCAGCGGCUUGAGAAAAACUCUCUCACUUUAUUCUGAAGAAACAUUUAUUAACCCUAACCCUUAAUAUCACAAGUGUAACCUUCUUUCAUCAUUUACAUUAAUACACAAAGAUUCAUUAAGCAGUAAGAGGUCAUAAACCUGAAGCUCAUCAUCAAUCCAACCUUCCACCUCAGCACCGUCGAGUUCCGGCUCCUGAUUGGUCAGAAGGUGUUGAUUUAGUUUCUAUACCAGACACUAGUGCAGCUGAACAUCACAGCUUUAUAUUCAGAUUAAUGCACUGCUUCUGAUACCGUAUCGUUUCUAUAGUAACAGCUCAUUAACAGGAACAGAAAACAAUUAAUAAACAUGUAUUAAUAGUCGAUAUGACAAAGUUUUCUGUGAGGUGAAGUUUAUUUAAUCUUCAGGACAGAGGAGUUUACACUGGUUUGUA